rnacentral:miRNA from 1 species
UGCCAAAGGAGAGAAGCCCUG